rnacentral:rRNA from 1 species
GACGAACGCUGGCGGCGUGUCUAAUACAUGCAAGUAGGACGCAGUUGCGAACGGGUGAGUUACGCGUCGGUAACUGCCUAUUAGUGGGGGCUAACUACUGGAAACGAUAGCUAAUACCGCAUACUAAUAGAUGGACCUGCGUUGUAUUAGGUAGUCGGUAGGGUAAUGGCCUCCCUAGGCGGCGGUACAUAGCCGCCCUGGGGGGGUGAACUGCCACACAGGGACUGGGACACGGGCCAGACCCCUACGGGAGGGAACAAGAGGGAAUCUUCGGCAAUGGGGGGAACGCUGACCGAGGAACUCCGCGUGGGUGGAGAAGGUUUUCGGGUCGUAAAGCUCUGUUGUUAAGGGAGCGGUACUUAACCAGAAAGGGACGGCUAACUACGUGCCAGCAGCCGCGGUAAUUC